AUUGAACGCUGGCGGCAGGCCUAACACAUGCAAGUCGAGCGAGCGGCGGACGGGUGAGUAAUGUGUGGGAAACUGCCAGAUGGAGGGGGAUAACUAGUGGAAACGGUAGAUAAUACCGCAUCCCAUAAGAUGUGCGCAGAUGGGAUUAGCUAGUAGGUGGGGGAAUGGCUAACCUAGGCGACGAUCCCUGGCUGGUCUGAGAGGAUGACCAGCCACACUGGAACGGAGACACGGUCCAGACUCCUACGGGAGGCAGCAUUGGGGAAUAUUGCACAAUGGGCGCAAGCCUGAUGCAGCCAUGCCGCGUGUGUGAAGAAGGCCUUCGGUUUGUAAAGCACUUUCAGCUGGGAGGCGUUACCCGCAGAAGAAGCACCGGCUAACUCCGUGCCAGCAGCCGCGGUAAUAC
rnacentral:rRNA from 1 species